CGCACGCUCUCAAGGCUGGCCGUGUGCACGUGCGUUCGAGCACGGGCGUGAGAGCUUUCUCCAGAGAGGUGGCACUGCAGUCCUGCCAGCACAGCCGCGUGGCUCUCUUUCCGGAGGUGUCGUCUCCUUCCCGGGCCCACUCACGCACCACCUUCCUCUGCUCGUGCUCGUUCGCGAGCUAGCUGGCUCACGGGCACCCGCACCAUGCAGCGUAGCGCUGGCGCCUUGCACGUGAGGUUUACCAUCUGCGGAUGCUUCCGAGAGUACCCGAGGCUGAACCUUGUCGCGUUUUGUUGCCCUUAGACUGGGAAAGCAGAUUCAAAUUAACGGAACUCUCCAACACCCAAAGGGGGAACUGACCUGAAGUAUUGUUUGUAACAAAUGCUUCUCACUAAAUAGAAAAGCAAAUUUCUCAUAAUUCUACUCCAAAAGGGUGAAGCACAUGUUUUUGAUAGGUAUACAACUGUGAAAAAUAACUUAGCUUUCUUUUAAACAAAGGUAACUGUGGAACUUUCAAUAUGCUUGGUCCAGGGAACGGCACUAUUAGAUGUUGUCCUGUUAGAGGAAAUGUGUCACUGUUGGGGUGGGCUUUGAGACCCCUCUCCUUGCUGCCUGAAAUACAGUCUGCUCCUUACUUCUUUUGGAUGAAGAUGUCGAACUCUCAGCUCCUCCAAUGUCAUGCCUGCCUGGAUGCAGCCAUCCUUCCUGUCAUGAUGAUAAUGGACUGAAUCACAGAACCUGUAAGCCUGCAUCAAGUCUGAAGGAUUAGGCACAUCCUCUCCCACUGAGGCUAGAUGUGGCAGCCCUCUGCUACAUAUGUGUCAGGGGCCUUGAACCAGCCCCUGUAUGAUUUUUGGUUGGUGGAUCAGUCUCUAGAAGUUCCCAGAGGGCCAGGUUAUUUGCUUUGUGGAUGAGUUUUCCAAAACUGACAGGGAAUGGAAUGACUGAAUCCAAUUUAAUAUGGACAGGAGGGCCCCCAGGGUUUUUCCCAAUAGAAAAUAUUACCUUGCCUAUCUUUUGUUCAUGUGCAUUCAUUAGUCCAAUGUAGGCCUUUGCCAUACCUUCUGCAUACUCCAGAAAGCUGGGGCCUUCUUUUUGGAUAAUCUCUAGAAAAAAAAAAAACAAUAUUUCUAGAAAUGCCUUGCAUAUAAUCUGUUUUCAUAUGAACUUGAACUUGCUUAUCACAAUUAAAACAUCUGAUGUUUUUGUUUUCUUCAAACUUUUAGAAAUUAUUUCUCCUAUCAAAGUAGCAUCAUAAACAUGAGACCCAAUAUUGCUAUAUUUCCAAUCCAUUCAUCUAUUGAUUCUGAUGUUGCCUUGAAAGGCCUAAUCGUCCCUUUGCAUUCUGAAUUAGCAUUUUCAAAAGCCAAAGAUCUCAUUAAUAUUUGUCUGACUUCUGAAUCUGAUACUCUUUUAUUUACAGCUGAAGUCAACCUUUGCAAAAAAAAAAAAAAUAGUGAAGGCUGGUUUUGGGCCUUGCAUAAUUUCAGUAAAUGAUACAGCCCUCUUUCCUGGUUCUUCAACAUAAACAGAAACCCUAAAAUAAUGUCCUUUCUGGUAUCAUUUUGGAAGUCACCAAGGACCAUUUCAUUCUGAUAUAAUUUUCUUUUCUUUACUAUAUCCCUGACUUAAUGUUCUAUUUUCCAAUUUUUGUGCAACUUUUUACAUUAAGUUUUAGAAUUCUAAAUUUUUCCAACAGCCCUUUCUGGUUAUUUCAUAAAUGUAGUAUGCUGUCCAAUGUUUCUGAGAAUAUCUGAGAUUCUUUGGCAGCUUUAUGUUCAGCUUUCAUGUUGGAGUUUCCUCAAAUGUUUAGCGAUUCUUAGUUGUCAGUGUAUAUUGAGUUCAAGUGACUAUAAGUUAUGUCAUCAUGAGCAGGGUUUGUAGUCUUUGGGUUUCACUGUGGCAAAUAGUUAAAUGUCAAAUUAUUGUUCAUCUUUUCUGGAUGGGUUGGGCAUGUCUGGAUAUACAUGCCCAUAACAGCUAGGUAAAGAAUGCAUGCAGGUUCACAGUGUUCUUAAUACUGGCAUUCUCAGUUUUCUUGUCCUCAACAUAGCUUUGGUCCUGUCUUUCAGUUCUCAGUUUUGUUUAGCUCAGUUUCUCCAGAAAAAUAAGCCUUCUGUAAUGUUUGCUUGUUUGUUUGUUUGUUUGGUUGGUUGGUUUUUUGUUUUUCAAGACAGGGUUUCUCUGUGUAGCCCUGGCUGUCCUGGAACUCACUCUGUAGACCAGGCUGGCUGUGAACUCAGAAAUCCGCAAGCCUCUGCCUCCCAAGUGCUGGGAUUAAAGGCAUGCGCCACCACUUUUGUUCCUCAUGCCUACUUUCAGUUGUCCCUUUAGCCUUUGAAUGGUGUAGGAAGCAGCACUUGUCUUCUACAUUUGUAGACUUUUUCUUUUUCUAAACAUUUAUCUUUGCUAUUUUUAAAUUGUAUGUAUUUGUGUCUGUGUAUGUGCACAAGAAGACACUGGAUCCCUAGGAGACAGAGUUUACAGGAGGAUGUUAGCCACCAGACAUGGGUGAGAAACCAGACAAAGGUUGUCUAUAAGAGUGCUCUUAGCC